rnacentral:rRNA from 1 species
AUUGAACGCUGGCGGCAUGCCUUACACAUGCAAGUCGAACGGCAGCACGGGGCAACCUGGUGGCGAGUGGCGAACGGGUGAGUAAUGCAUCGGAACGUGCCAUUGAGUGGGGGAUAACGUAGCGAAAGUUACGCUAAUACCGCAUAUUCUGUGAGCAGGAAAGCAGGGGAUCGCAAGACCUUGCGCUGAUUGAGCGGCCGAUGUCAGAUUAGCUAGUUGGUGAGGUAAAGGCUCACCAAGGCGACGAUCUGUAGCGGGUCUGAGAGGAUGAUCCGCCACACUGGAACUGAGACACGGUCCAGACUCCUACGGGAGGCAGCAGUGGGGAAUUUUGGACAAUGGGGGCAACCCUGAUCCAGCCAUGCCGCGUGAGUGAAGAAGGCCUC